CCUGGAUGGAAAAGGUGAUGAAAAUAA
rnacentral:piRNA from 1 species